rnacentral:sRNA from 1 species
AAGAGACGGAAGAAAAUGGGUGAC